CUGCUCUAUUACAUUGUCUGCCUACCUUUAGGUCAUCAGAAAUAAUCACCCCUAAAUCCCUUUCCUCAGAUGUUAAACAAUUUAUCAUUUAACAUGGUUUCCAUUACUUUCCCCACUACUGAAGUAAGGCUCUCUGGCCUAUAGUUGCCCAACUCCUCCCUACUACCUUUCUUUUGAAUGGGCACAACAUUCGCUAAUUUCCAAUCUUCUCGG